CUCAUAUCCCAACCCAUGUUAGUAGGUGUUUAGGACAUUUGGAAUCAGGCCAUCACACACCGAAAUAUAGUGGCAUGGAGGUACAGCCGAGAUGCCAACAGCUUCUGCUACAAUAUUACUAACUCUUCACUUCACAUUACCACAAACGAUAGGAGCAAAUAAAAGUGACAGCAGGCGUCAGCUCCCAGCACUCACCAGCUACAUGGGAGCUACGGAGCAGAGAGAAAAGGACAUUGCAGCUAAGCAAGCAAGUGGUUCAGCAGGAGGAUCUGAUUCAGAUAAACUCACCGACUUCGUGUAGAAAAUUGAAACCAUCAGUCAUGAAAAACAAAAGGUUCCAGUUUCCCAGAAGAAUGUGUCUGGUCUGCUUGUCCAGGUUCCAAGGGAUAAAAGCUUCAAUAUGCCUGACAUCUGGGGAAAGGAAUUAUGACUUGGAGUGAAGAGGGGACAUUCAGACACUAGAAUGAAGAACUGUGCUGGUUAGUGGAGCUUUGCCAGGCGGUAGAGCCUUCCCACUCAAGGAAACUAGGAGAAAUUCCCAGUGCUUGGCCAGAAGCUAUGUCAGUGGUUCCUGCUGGGUCUCACUGUGGAGAGUUGGACCAAUAAAAUGGCAUUGGUCUGACGAAGAUAGCAUAAAGUAUAUAAAACAAAGUGGAGUCACUCAUGUCAACCAAAAUGGCUGUCUGUCAACCAUGACACUUUGAUUCAAGAAAUAAACUACCUAAGUUAGAGCGGACACAUCUGGCAAGGUGACAUAUCUGCCCACAUGGUCGGAAUAGACACAUGGCAAGGAGACACACCUAAGAUACCUGCACAUGUGAUCAGAAUAGACAUGUCUGCAGAAUGGGACCACCAAUAGACAGGCUUCUUGGCAAAUUCCCUACUUGCCAGCAGGAGUGCCAAGACAUUUAUCAAAAAAGACUUAGAAUGGUGGAGCACAUCACUUUCAAGGUAUUUCAAGGUAUAACUAAGGCAAGUUCUAGACCACUGCUAAGACAGCCAAGCUCAACACAGCAGAGUGCUGCUCUAUGGCAUGCUGAUUUCCCUUGGCAUUGGCCACCAGAGUCUCUGCCCUGCUGGACUGAGGACUUCAACUGCCCUGCUGCCCACCUGGCUCCGGAGGCCCUUCCUUGCAAGAUGCUGACAACCCCCUUGCCCACCGUGCUGUCUCCUGGACCUGCAGACCGAGACUCUGGGACUCAGGUUCAUUAUCUCGCAUUGAUUGCUGUGUAUAUGUGUUAUAUUUCUCUUAGACUGUUAGAGUGUGAGUAGCAUAUUAAUGUGUGUUGAUGUUCUACUCUGAGUGAACCUGCAUUCAAUAAAAGCUGAGUGAAUAGUACA